rnacentral:antisense_RNA from 1 species
UGUAGGAGUGAGCCUGCUCGCGAUAGGGCUGUGUCAGUCGACAUCCAUCUUGACUGAUCCAUCGCUAUCGCGAGCAGGCUCACUCCUACA